rnacentral:rRNA from 1 species
UACGAAGGGGGCUAGCGUUGCUCGGAAUCACUGGGCGUAAAGCGCACGUAGGCGGACUCUUAAGUCGGUGGUGAAAUCCUGGAGCUCAACUCCAGAACUGCCUUCGAUACUGGGAGUCUCGAGUCCGGGAGAGGUGAGUGGAACUGCGAGUGUAGAGGUGAAAUUCGUAGAUAUUCGGAGGAACACCAGUGGCGAAGGCGGCUCACUGGCUCGGUACUGACGCUGAGGUGCGAAAGCGUGGGGAGCAAACAGG